ACUACCAAUUAUUACUAUGUUCUACAUACAAUUAAUUAGUUUAGUACUAGAUAUUAACCCGCGGUAUACCGCGGACCUAUAUUUUUAUUAAAUAAAAAUAAUUGAAUAUUUUUUAGGAUGAUUUAAUAAAUUUAUGCUAUUUUUUUAUUUAAAUGUAUAAUUCACCGCGAGACGAAAUUUUAUAACUCAAAUUUUAAAGUUUUAAGUUGUAUUUGUUUAUUUUGUUAAAUGUUUAAUAUUGUAUAAUUAUAUUUUGAUUGUUGUUUUUCGGAUUUCACCCGUAGUACACCAUCUCAUAUUAAUAUCGAAUCAAACCCGUCAAUUCUAGGAUUUCACCCGUAGUAAUAUCUAAUUGUAUAAUUAUAUUUUAAUUGUCAUUCUAGGAUUUCACUCCUAAUUCUAUCGCAAAUUAUUAUCAACCCAAACCAGUCAAUUCUAAAAUAUCACCCGUAGUACACCAUCCCAUAUUAAUAUCGAAUCAAGCCCGUCAAUUCUAGGAUUUCACCCGUGGUAGUAUUUAAUUGUAUAAUUAUAUUUUAAUUGUCAUUCUAGGAUUUCACUCCUAAUUCUAUCGCAAAUUAUUAUCAACCCAAACCAGUCAAUUCUAAAAUAUCACCCGUAGUACACCAUCCCAUAUUAAUAUCGAAUCAAACCCGUCAAUUCUAGGAUUUCACCCGUGGUAAUAUUUAAUUGUAUAAUUAUAUUUUAAUUGUCAUUCUAGGAUUUCACUCCUAAUUCUAUCGUAAAUUAUUAUCAACCCAAACCAGUCAAUUCUAAAAUAUCACCCGUAGUACACCAUCCCAUAUUAAUAUCGAUUCAAACUCGUCAAUUCUAGGAUUUCACUCGUGGUAGUAUUUAAUUGUAUAAUUAUAUUUUGAUUGUCAUUCUAGGAUUUAACUCCUAGUUCUAUCGCAAAUUCUUAUCAACCCAAACAGUCAAUUCUAAAAUUUCACCCGUAGUAUAAAGUUUAAAUAUUUAUAAUGUUUAAAUUUU
rnacentral:sRNA from 1 species